rnacentral:lncRNA from 1 species
AGAGAAGUUAAAAAGAUGUGUAUGUAUAAAUAUCCAGGAAUGAAGAAAAAAAUGGGAGAGUUUGAGCUAGCAAUUGUAGCUAGAGAGUUUACAGAUUCUGAAAUUAUGGUGAUGCUGGGGGAAAAUGGAACAGGUAAAACGACAUUUAUCAGAAUGCUUGCUGGAAGACUUAAACCUGAGGAAGGAGGAGAAGUACCAGUUCUAAAUGUCAGUUAUAAGCCACAGAAAAUUAGUCGCAAAUCAACUGGAAGUGUUCGCCAGUUACUACAUGAAAAGAUAAGAGAUGCUUAUACUCACCCACAAUUUGUGACCGAUGUAAUGAAGCCUCUGCAAAUUGAAAACAUCACUGAUCAAGAGGUGCAGACAUUAUCUGGUGGUGAACUACAGUGAGUAGCUUUAGCCCUUUGUUUGGGCAAACCUGCUGAUGUCUAUUUAAUUGAUGAACCAUCUGCAUGUUUGGAUUCUGAGCAAAGACUGAUGGCAGCUCGAGUUGUCAAACGUUUCAUACUCCAAGAAAAAAGACAGCCUUUGUUGUGGAACAUGACUUCAUCAUGGCCACCUAUCUAGCGGAUCGCGUCAUCGUUUUUGAUGGUGUUCCAUCUAAGAACACAGUUGCAAACAGUCCUCAAACCCUUUUGGCUGGCAUGAAUAAAUUUUUAUCUCAGCUUGAAAUUACAUUCAGAAGAGAUCCAAACAACUAUAGGCCACGAAUAAACAAACUUAAUUCAAUUAAGGAUGUAGAACAAAAGAAGAGUGGAAACCACUUUUUCUUGGAUGAUU